rnacentral:miRNA from 1 species
UGAAGAGUGUGUGUGUGUGCACGUGGGUAUGUAUAUGCAUACACACACACACACACACACACACACACACACACACACAUAU